rnacentral:rRNA from 1 species
UCGGGAAUUUUGGGCAAUGGGGGAAACCCUGACCCAGCAACGCCGCGUGAAGGAUGAAGUAUUUCGGUAUGUAAACUUCGAAAGAAUAGGAAGAAUAAAUGACGGUACUAUUUAUAAGGUCCGGCUAACUACGUGCCAGCAGCCGCGGUAAUACGUAGGGACCAAGCGUUGUUCGGAUUUACUGGGCGUAAAGGGCGCGUAGGCGGCAAUUCAAGUCAUCUGUGAAAUCUCCGGGCUUAACUCGGAACGGUCAGAUGAUACUGCUUUGCUAGAGUGCAGAAGGGGCAAUCGGAAUUCUUGGUGUAGCGGUGAAAUGCGUAGAUAUUGGGAAGAACACCGGUGGCGUAGGCGACUAGCUGGGCUGUAACUGACGCUGAGGAACGAAAGCCAGGGGAGCGAAUGGGAUUAGAUACCCCCGUAGUCCCUGAGCGGGCUGGCAAGGCGCAU